GUGCGGUGUUUUUGGCCAGGAAGUCAGGCAGAAGUCUGCAGCGUGCAACUCGCGGCGGGGCGUGUGUGUGCGUGUGUGUGCGCGCGCUUGUGCAUGUUUCCGGCCCGGGGUCGUGUGUGUGGCUGCAGCCUGUCUCCAUGACAAGAAGAUCAGGGAUCCACGGGCGGCACGGGGAAGGGAUUAAGGGGAACAUGCUUCCCUACGUCUUUUCUGCCUCCUUUUCCCAGAGUAGCAUUCUUUGCUUAUCCAAUGAUACCUCUCUAACCUCUCCCUCUCCCCUUACAUCCCAAACCUGAUGCGGGUCUUCUCUGAUUCGGCACUCUAAGGAGGACUGAGCCGCCGGCUGCGACCACCGUGGACUCCCUCUAUGGAAGGGAAUCCUGGGAGUCCCGGCCGUCAGAGGGGUUCCCAAAUUCAAAGGGUUCAUCUCCAAGGCGUCACUCCGGGGGUCCGCGAUUCACUCUGCUGCCCCUUGCAGGUGAUGCUGUGAUUGUUGCCCGCGGACAGGGAAGACAGGGAAGCACCAUGCCUCCAAAAGGCCACGGGGCGGAGAAGCAGGAAGAGAGACCAGCAUUUAAGGGAAUCUCUGGCGGAGGCCUCCCUGGAGUUCCCGACAUAGAGACUUUACCAGAUGCAGGAAAUGAAGAUGAAGGCAACUCUGGAAGGAUGAAAAGAAGAGAGAGCAAGCACUGUACCUACUGUCUGCUAUCUAAGAGGGCUGGUCUCAUAACUAAAAGAUCCAGUCCCUGAGAUCUUGUGUGCAACUAUCAGAAAUAGUUCAGGACAUCAAAUUGCGCAGAAAAGAUUCAGAUGAAGAGAAACAAGAACUCUGUGGAAAACUGUUGGAGACAGUGGCACGGUUGUCUUAAAAGGUGAUGUCUGUCCCAUGGAGGGACACAAGAGCGAGGACAGCACGGUUCUAAUGGCCAGGGCAUGUCCUCUUAUUCAAUGUGACAGGGUAUGUUUUUGACAUAUACUCUUUGAAAUAUGUUGAUUAUUCUGGACAUCAGUAAGGUGGGAUAUUUGAAUAAAAAGACUUCUGUCAUUAUUGGCUUUUAUGGCUAUGAUUUUUUUCAGUCAUUUUUAUAAAUCAUGUGAAGGUAAAAUAAAUGAUCAUUUCAGCCAUUAAUUCUGUUCUGCACAGAAUGCUGUUCAAAUAAAACAUCAUCUGAU
rnacentral:lncRNA from 1 species